GUCUUGGCCGAAGAGGAGAAAACGCUUGUAAAUGUCAAAACAUUCCAAUCUGGCAAUUAAAAAUAUGCAUUUUGGAAGUGCUCCAUCGUUUCAGGCCGGGAUUUAGGAGGGGAGCACUUUGUUUCCAAGCAGUUUUUCCCGUGGAAACAGCCCCGGAGGAAAACUGGGGAAGUUGAGCAAGGGAUUCAACCUGAGCCUGGCAUCCAGUGCGAGCACCAGCUCCGGGCUGGCCUGCAGCUCUGUGCUCGGACUUUUUUUGCAGUUCAGCUAUCGAACGAUGCCUGUGAGGUUAUGCUUAAGGAAGGUGAGGAUCUCUUCUCCGAAGUGCAAGAUGGACAUUGGAGAUGGACUUGUUCCCGAUACCACUUCUUCGGAGGUCUAGAAGAAAACUCAACUUAUUUCUGGAUUUAAGUGAGAGGCAGAACCUGACCCUGCAGUUCGCGUUGUGCUGCCGCUCGCUCCUCCAGCAUCCCCCAGGCUGCCCGAUGGCAGCUCCCCGGGAGCUAAGGUUUGACUGCCCCAUGGACAAGUGCUGAGAGCGGCCGUAUCUGCCCACGAGCGGUGUCCCGGUGCUGGCCACUUCCCAUCCCUGCCACGUUCAGGGGGACCAUCCCCAGCAGGGCGUGCUGGAGCCGAGCUGUUUCGGGUGGGAGCAUGGGGAUGGACAAAGCCCACCCAGGCUGUGCAGCCCACAGUGUUGGGCUGAAAAAGCGGGAUUUUAGGAGCUAGGUGGCGUCUGCUGCGCCGAAACGCUUGGGCUUAAAACUCAGCAUUGGGCGUCUGGGGACUGGAAACGUGUGGAGCAGCGAUUUCCCAGCCCCUCGUCUGCGCAGAGCCGCUUUCAAAUGCUAAAAGAAGAUGGUAUCACCUGGGAACGCCUGGAAGUUUCGGCUCGGCUCAAACCACAGGCUUGGGAGCAGCUCCCGUGCGCUGCGAGGCUCCCGCGGAGACGCUGCCUCGGCGCGGGCAUGGCCGCGGGGUGUCCCUGCGGCACCGGCCCCACAUGGGGGGUCCCCUCCGUGCCACCGUGCUCGUCCCCUUGUGCCACCACACUCAUCCCCUCGUGCCACCACGCUCGUCCCCAUGCCUCGAGGCCAGCCCCCGUCCCAGGAGCCACACGAGUGAAGCACAAGGGUUGGACGUGGCCCAUCACAGGCCCCUGGGGACAAUUCCCCAGGCAGAUGCGCUCGCCACCGCCCGGUUUUCCAUCAUGGGGGGCCCCGUGCCGCGUUCCCAGCCCUGCCGCCUGCCCUGCCCCAGGCUCCCAGGUGGCCUUGGCUGC